GGGGCCGUAGCUCAUCUGGGAGAGCGCAUCGUUCGCAACGAUGAGGUAGCGAGUUCGAUCCUCGUCGGCUCCACCA
rnacentral:tRNA from 4 species